rnacentral:tRNA from 1 species
AACCUUAGGUUAAACUAAACCCUGGACCUUCAAAGCCCAAAAUAGGAAGCAAUCUCCUAGUUU